rnacentral:rRNA from 1 species
UCGAACGAGAAAUCUUUAGCUUGCUAGAGAAAGUAAAGUGGCGCACGGGUGAGUAACGCGUGGGUAAUCUGCCUCCGAAUCGGGGAUAACAUUGCGAAAGCGAUGCUAAUACCGGAUAAAAUCUGGUUGGCUUCGGUGAACCGGAUCAAAGGUGGUCUCUUUAUAAAAGCUACCGUUUGGAGAUGAGCUCGCGUACCAUUAGCUAGUUGGUGAGGUAAAGGCUCACCAAGGCGACGAUGGUUAGCUGGUCUGAGAGGAUGAUCAGCCACACCGGAACUGGAACACGGUCCGGACUCCUACGGGAGGCAGCAGUGAGGAAUUUUGCGCAAUGGGGGAAACCCUGACGCAGCAACGCCGCGUGAGUGAUGAAGGCUUUCGGGUCGUAAAGCUCUGUCGGGUGGGAAGAACCCACCAAGUGUUAAGACCACUUGGUGCUGACGGUACCACCGAAGGAAGCACCGGCUAACUCCGUGCCAGCAGCCGCGGUAAUACGGGGGGUGCGAGCGUUAUUCGGAAUCAUUGGGCGUAAAGGGCGCGCAGGCGGUUUUGUAAGUCAGAUGUGAAAUCCCGGGGCUUAACCCCGGAAGUGCAUAUGAAACUAUGAGACUUGAGUAUGGGAGAGGGAAGCGGAAUUCCUGGUGUAGCGGUGAAAUGCGUAGAUCUCAGGAGGAACACCGGUGGCGAAGGCGGCUUCCUGGACCAAUACUGACGCUGAGGCGCGAAGGCGUGGGGAGCGAACAGGAUUAGAUACCCUGGUAGUCCACGCAGUANACGUUGAUCACUAGGUGUAGCGGGUAUUGACCCCUGCUGUGCCGGAGUUAACGCAUUACGUGAUCCGUCUGGGGAGUACGAUCGCCAGAUUAGCACUCCAAGGAAUUGACGGGGGGCCCGCACAAGCGGUGGAGCAUGUGGUUUGAUUCGACGCAACGCGAA